ACCCUCUCUCACACAGCUACCAUUGGGGUUUUUUUUUUUUGUUUUUUUGUUUUUUUUUUUUUUGUCCCCUAAGCUCUGAAGAUAUAUGUGAUGAGAGUCAGGGCUUUCCCCCAUCCCUCUGGAAGUCAGCCACCUUCCAAAGACAGAGAAAGGAAAGAAGAUAGAAAGAAGAGGAAAGGAAAGAAGAGAAAAUCUCUACAGGAAAGCGGGAAGAGGCUGGGAGGGGCUGCUGAGGCUGGGCAGGGCCUCGUUGAAAUGCAAAUAAAUGUGUUUAUAUAGCUGGGGUCAGGGUUGCCUAGUCAAACCUGUGGAGGGCCCUCGAGACCACACUCUCCACCCACACAGAACACUGUCCUGACAGCAAGCCCGGGCUCAUCAUGCCUGUGACCUCAGCUGUCCUCCUUGAAGCACAGUGAUUCAGGGCACCCUGACCUCCAAGUGCCAGGGCAAACCCCGUGACCCCAGAUCCCAGACUCAGGGUCUUGAGGGUUCGAGGAACCUGGUAUGGACUCUGUAGCUUUGUCCCUGGGAUGGGUCUGUUACCACGUCCGCCACACUAAGGACUUGAAAGCAUGGUCUUUGUCACCUGCUCCGUUCACAGCCAGCAUCUUAGUGACAAUGGAGCCCACCGGCACUUCUCUGUCCACCCAGGCAGUGUGCUAUAGAAUAAUUUCAUUCCCUGGGGACUAAGGCUCUGCUUGUCUGCCAGCAGGCCCUGGGCACAGUAGCUUCCUUUUCAUUUCCCUCUUGUUUGGGCUUGGAAGAUCUCCGAAGAGGCCCAUCCAGUCCUACAGGCUGUGCCCUAUAACCCUUGGCUUUGUGGGUGGGGCGUGGCCCCCGUUUGCAGGGAAUGUUGCUCUUCACAAGACAGCAAGUCUGUCUGAGUCCAGGUCUGGGAAUGCAAGCCUAGGGUGGGAACGUGGUACCUUCACCCUCUGUUCUCCAUGACAACCUGAAGAUGUGGGCCACUCUGCCACAGGGCCCUAGCGGUUGGUUCCUAGCGUUUGGCUCCUCCAUCUUGUCCCAAACUAGUGGGGUUCCCUAGAAGAGGCCUCAGGUGGUUCUGUAACCCAGAAACCCCAAAGUCCGACUCUGACUGUCGCUGUCCUCACUUGAAUGCAGCCCUGCUCAGACCUAUUUCCAGCUAGUCUACACAGAGAGAUAGCAGAACAACGGGCUCCCACUGUUGGCACUGGUUCCCAGAACCCUGCCCACAGCACAGGCCCUGAACCCAAGAGAGGCCCGACAGGGUAUGGAGGUGUGGCUUCAGACACUGGGGACACACCAAGGCUUUCGAGGGGACGGUGCUCCGGAAGACAGUUUGAAGCUCAGUUAUGCUUGGGGGGAGGGGCAUUCCAUGUUCCUAACCAGGUACUUAUGCACAGACAUGCACACACGUUCAUCCCCCCAGCCUCCCAUCCCCGGAUCCUCUCCGGAGGUCCUGUGCAAGCUCAGCUCGCAGUCAACUUGAAUUCCAUCACCACCACACCCUCCAAGCCAGGGACUCCUGAGUAAGUCGUGUGGGCCUUAGUGCUCUCGUCUGAAAAAUGGAAUGGAAAUAUGGCUACUGUCACAGGCAAUCAUGUGGACUUCAGGGGUUCCCAGCCUGGAUGUGCUUGCUGGCAGCUGGCUGCUGUCCCCAGCUCAGGCAGGACGUGUGGGCAGCUAGCUCCCUCCUCGCCGGUAGGAGGGCAUUUGCAGCGCUGCACCUGUGCCCACACUGGGGAGGAAGUGGCUCCCUGGUUGAAGGGUUGUGGCUGUUACUCAGGGGAAGUCACUGGAGCAGCUGUGGGUGUUCUGGGUUCCUUCUUCCCCUCCCCCUCCCAGGCCAGCAGGUUUCCUAAGCCAUCCCCCUUGGGCACAGCCUCCCUGUCGGGACAGCUCUGCAGUCCAUUGGUUUCUAUGGCAACCAGGCUUCCUGGGAAGGAUGGGGAAGUCCUGGAGGAUCAGCGUGGGAGGGGUGGACCCCUGCCUCAUCAGGUCUGCUGGCCAGGGCUGAGUCUGGCUAGGAGUUCAUUAAUAACACAAGACAUUUUGCUGUCCUUUGUGGAGCACAGACCAAGAGCCCGAUUCUUUCGGCUGCACUCUAUGGUGUAUUGCAAACUACCUGGGUAGGCUCAGUCUAGUUUUUUAGAUGAGGACUUGGAAGUAAUUUUCUCGAAGUCACAGAGAAGCGGAGAGAAAGAGCUGAGCUUUGCCGCCAAGUUUUCCUAGUUAUUAAGAGUGUGUCCCUCUGCUGGGUGUAGUGACACGUGCCUUUGAUCCCAGCACUGGGGAGGCAGAGGCAGGCAGAUCUCUGAGUUAAAGGCCAGCUUGGUCUACACGACCGCCAGGGCUACUCAGAGAAACUCUAUCUCC
rnacentral:lncRNA from 1 species